UAUAAUACAUAUGCUGUUCUAAAGACAGCAGGCAGUCGAAAGGCUCUAACGGUAUUACCGCCUGCCGAGGAAUGGGAAUGAGAUCAAAAUCACCUCCCUUCUGUUCUUUGACAGAGGGGAUUUUUUUCUUGCUCU
rfam:Eubacterium sp. CAG:786 genomic scaffold, scf282